rnacentral:ncRNA from 2 species
CAAGCCAACGAAGCACCGGUAAAUAAGCUGGGGUAACUAUGACUCUUAUCAAAGUAGCGAAAUACCUCGUCACUUAAUUAGUGACCUGCAUGAACGGAGCUAUGAGGUUCUCACUGUCCCAAACUGUCUCUCAGCGAACCAACUGUAGUGGGAACGGUCACUAGAUAUCCAGCGGGGAAAGAAGACCCUGUAGAGCUUCACUUUGGUCUAGUCUUGUAUAGUUCCUGCGGGGGUGUAGACUAGGUGGGAGAGCAAUCGAUUCUGAAAAACCACUACCCUGUUUGGAAUUAUGCUUACCUAUCACAAGGAAUAGGACUAGAUAGAAAGUUUGGCUGGGGCGGCACACCUUCGAAAGAGCAGCGAAGGUGUCCUAAGUUGAGCUCAGUGAGGACAGAAAUCUCACGUUGAGGAUAAGGCCAAAAGCUCAAUUUACUGUGCCUUUUUGUACUAGGAUCAGUUACGAAAGUAAGGCCUAACGAUCCCUAAAUAGCCUCAGGUGCGUGAGGAUUGGGGUGACAGACAAGUUACCUCCGGGACAACUGGCUUGUGGCUGCUAAGAGAUCAAAUCAACGCAGCUUUUUGAUUCUUCGAUGUCGGCUCUUCCUAUCCUAGUGAUGUACAAGUUGCUAAGGGUCGGAUUGUUCACCCGUAUUAGGGAUCGUGAGCUGGGUUUAGACCGUCGUGAGCCAGGUUUGUUUUAUCCUACUGGAUAUAGCAUCAUGAUAGUAGAUUGAUUUAGUACGAGAGGAACUGUUGAUUAUGGCCUCUGGUUAGCGAUUAUCGGAAACGGUAUGUCGCGCAGCUACGCCGUCUGGGAUAAUGGCUGAAAGCCUCUUAAGCCAGAAGCCCAUCUAGAAAGUGAUGCACGUGAUGUUGGACCGAUACGAAUAAUCAUACUCAAAAGGUCCGCUUCAUAGGUAACCCAAUGUAGAAGACAUUGUGUGAACGAAGGUACUGUUAGCAGUGGAGUGGCAUUACGUCCACGAC